GGAAAAGAAAAGAAAAGUUAACUCUCUCCUUGGAAAUCAUUCGAAAAACGUCAGCCACACCUUUCUUCAUUCGCGAUUCUUCUUCCUCUCCUCCUCUCCUCCUCUCCUCCUCUCCUCCAGCCGACGCCACCACCGAGCCAUCCUUACAUCGUUCAACUCAUUGAAUGACGAACGACAUGCUGACACUUCCAUCUCACUCGUAUUUUGGUCGUGAUGCACCCCGACAAUGCAACUCGUCGACGUCGAUACCGAUGACUAGCUAAACGCACCGUUGCUAGUCGUAUCCGGUCGUUGUCAACUAGGUUUCUCAAAGCUCUCGCAAGUUGUUUGGUUUAUAGAUCUACCAGUCGAGCCAAGUUCGCUUAAAGCCGUUGUGUCGCUUCUCACGUCAUUAGCUUGUUAGAUAUGAUUUUGUGGACAGAUUUGAGCUUUUUGGUGAGUUUGUGAGUUUUUCUCAAAGAGUUUCAAUUAUCCAUUGAGUUUCGACUUGAUUUUUACAUUACCCAUUACUUUUCAUUGUUAGAUUUGGAUUCUUGGGAGAUUUUAGCCAUUGUCCAGCCCUUAGGAAGCUCAAAUUUGAGUAUUUUCGCACAACUUAAUUGGGUAAGAUUCUAAACUUUUUGGAGUAGGUCUUGAAUAUCCAUUUAAUUCUAGUGCUAACAUUGAAUACCUCAUGAUGUUAGUAGCUAGAUUUCAAAGCUAGAAGGUCGUUAGGGUGUUGUCCAUUAGAACUAAUAAGACUAUUCUAAUAAGUAUUUGGUAAGAUUACAUUCUAAUUAGUUAAUUAAGUUUUUUCUUUUUUCUUACAUCAUAUUUAUCUUUACAUUUUAUCCUUCUUAAAAAACUAUGAUGAUGGAAUUAGAAAUAUCUGGGAGUCCGUUAUUUCUAAAUUCUUGAAGUGAGGGAAUCAGUUCUUUGGGAGUCCAAGAUCGAUUUCCAAUAUUUUUCAAAAAAUAAAAUCUUAUCUUACUUGCUUAAUUUGUUCUGUGAUAUAUUUGAUUGUAUUUUGUGCAUUAUUUUCUAUUGACUUAAUUUUGAAAUUUUUCUUAAAUUUUCUUUUUUAACCAUUUAGAAAUUUUUGUUUGAAAACUAUCUUUUUUAAUGUUUUUUUUAAAGUUUAAAAUAUAAAUCGAUAUUUCAUAAGGUUUUCUAAUCAACCUUUUUUUAAUAACUCAUGUCUAUUUCGCUAAAAGAAAUCAUAUGAUAGAAUCUAGAACUUUCUGGAAGUUCUUUAUUUCUAGAUUCUUGAGGUGAUUAGGGAUCAAUACCUUUGGGAGUCUGAUAUUUGAUCCCAAGAAAAAAUGAAUUUAAUCAAUGUUUUAAAAAAAUAUAUUUAUUCGAAUACUAGCCUAUGAUAGAUUUUGAGAAAUUGUAAUAAUAAGAUGAGAAAUUUUUCUCAAUAUAGUCUAAUUAAUGAAAUAUUAUUUCACUUAUUUUAUGGGAUCAUUGUUUCAAAUAUUGGAGUGAUGAGCAAGGAAAUAAGACAUAAAAAAUUUCUAAAUGAAUUUUAUUUCAGACUUUAAAUUUGGCCACAGUUUUCUAAAUGGGUGUUACGGGGUACUAAUACCUUUUUCGUACAUACUUCCGAUCUCAACUCUAUUUUUCAUAGACUAUUUUUUAAAAAAAAUUAUUUACUUUAUUUUGGUGUCCGAUCACACGCCUUAAAAAAGAUUGGUGGGCGACUCUUAUUUUCCUUUGAAACUGACUCUUUUGAGGAUGUCGACCGCAUUGUUUCGAGCGUGUGGCAACACUAAGUAUGCAUGAUCUCCAUUUGACCGCGUGUUUUCUUGUGGAUAUGGAUCACGCGUGAGUUAUUUCGGUCCGUGUAUUUAGUAUGCUAUUAUGGUUGGAUUGAAUGGAUGUUGUUACUAUGGUAGGUGUUAAGUAUUGCGUGAGCUCGUUUGGCCACGCAUUUCCUUGUGGUCACGCAUUUCCUUGUGGAUAUGGAUCACGUGUGAACUAUCCUGAGUCCUGUAUUUUAGUAUGGUAUCAUGGUUGGAUUGGAUGGAGGUUACUAUCAUGGCGGUUACUAAAUAUGCAUGAGCUAGUUGUGGUCACAUGAUUAUUUGAUCAUGUGCGAGCUAUUCUUAGUCGUAUAUUUAGGCGCCUUGCCAUGGUGGAUUGAGUAAAGGUUUGUCGGCUUGACUUGUGUUGUAUAGUAUUAUGUAAUGAUGAAGUUUGAUUUAUUAUUUCAUUAUCAAUGCAUACUUACACAUUGUUUUGAGCAUGUUUUACGAGUUGUUACUACUAAGAAUUUGUCACUCAUUAAGUUAUAGCUCACGUUUUCAAAUUUUUUCUCUCCCCCCCUCCCCCAGGUAGGCGGUCAAGGAACAGGCAUUGGUUGAACUCUUAGUCAUAUACUGAUUGUGAACUCAUUCCUUUUGAAUGUAUAUACUAAGUUUUGUAUUACUUCAUGGGAUAGUUAGAUGUAGCGAAAGUGACGUUAAAGGAUUGUGUUAUGAGAAGUUCCUCAUUAGACUAUAAUCGUUAUCUUGUAUGCAAUAUCUAGUUUGAAUUUUAACUUUGCUUGAAACUCUAGGAUAGUCUUGAUGUAUGUGUGGUGAGACACACUUUUUGUGUUGUGGAGUUUGAAGUCAGUUUAUAUACAUUUAGAAGUGAAAUUUUCAAGUUUGGCUAAUCCAUAUUUUAGAGGCGAUGCCGUCGAAUUUUUUAUAGGAUUUUAUAUUACUUGCUUUUUUAAAAAGUUUAAGUUGAAUAAUGUUGGUUUAAAAAGGCGUUUUCAUGCCACGACCUACGUUAGGAGGGAAAAUCUAGAAUGGGGUAUGACAAUGACAACUAAUUAGAUAUAUCAAACGACUAUUAGAAGACUAUCAAAUGACUAUCAACUUUUAGAUUUGCUACUUUUGUAAUUUUAAAAUGUAGUGACAUGGGCCCUAUUAUCAUAAUUUCUUUUGUUAUUUUAGCAAACGCUCUUUUUUAAAUUGCAAAAAUGAAAAAUUUGUCAAGCCCAAAUUUGUUGAUGGGCUUGAAAUAAAAUGUCGAAAAUACCCCUCAUUUUUUAUUACCAGCAUCUGACUGUCAUUUGAUCACUAUCAUAUAGUCCUUCGAUUACCUUUUGAUUGUCUUCUGAUUAAUUUUUUAUUUAGUUAGCCUUUUGAGAAAGUGAUUUGAUUACUUUUGGAUCGCCAUUUGAUUACAUUUUUUGUGAUAGUAAUUGUUUAUAUUACUUGAUUAAAUUGAUAGAACUAAGUCAUGCACAGCGGAAAAAGAAUCGAAUUUCUACCCUAAUUGCCGCAAUUAACAUGUAACCAUAAACUAAUCAAAUUAGGGUUUUAAGAAGUAUUACCUUUGAAGCUUUCAAAAGGUUUGAUGUCUUCUUACCAAUUCUAACCGAGACCACCACUAGUACUCAACUGCUAUCCUCUAGACAAAGAACCGGGUUGUGGGACCCAAUUUUGGUGUAGAUAGAAAUGGAGAUAAAAUGGGAUUGGAAGGUUUCCUUUUUUUU
rnacentral:lncRNA from 1 species